rnacentral:misc_RNA from 1 species
AAGACUAUAGACCUGCGGAGUACCUGCGGAGGGAUCAUUAGUGAACGCCCUCACGGGCUUAUAACUAUUCCAAACCUCUGUGCACCGUGCCCUUCGGGGCUAUUUUACAAACAUGGUGUAAUGAACGUCAUAUAUCAUAACAAAACAAAACUUUCAGCAAUGGAUCUCU